rnacentral:rRNA from 1 species
AACGAACGCUGGCGGCAUGCCUAACACAUGCAAGUCGAACGAAGGCUUCGGCCCUAGUGGCGCACGGGUGCGUAACGUGUGGGAAUCUGCCCUUUGGUUCGGAAUAACAGCUGGAAACGGCUGCUAAUACCGGAUGAUGACGAAAGUCCAAAGAUUUAUCGCCAGAGGAUGAGCCCGCGUUGGAUUCGGUAGUUGGUGGGGUAAAGGCCUACCAAGCCGACGAUCCAUAGCUGGUCUGAGAGGAUGAUCAGCCACACUGGGACUGAGACACGGCCCAGACUCCUACGGGAGGGAGCAGUGGGGAAUAUUGGACAAUGGGCGCAAGCCUGAUCAAGCAAUGCCGCGUGAGUGAUGAAGGCCCUAGGGUUGUAAAGCUCUUUUACCCGGGAAGAUAAUGACGGUACCGGGAGAAUAAGCCCCGGCUAACUCCGUG